CGGGCGACCGGCGCACGGGUGAGUAACACGUAUGCGACCUGCCCGUAGCAGGGGGAUAAGCGGAAGAAAUUCCGUCUAAUACCGCGUAAUAUCUUUCGGGGGCAUCCCUGAGGGAUUAAAGGAAGCGAUUCUGGCUACGGAUGGGCAUGCGGCGCAUUAGCUAGUCGGCGGGGUAACGGCCCACCGAGGCGACGAUGCGUAGGGGUUCUGAGAGGAAGGUCCCCCACACUGGUACUGAGACACGGACCAGACUCCUACGGGAGGCAGCAG
rnacentral:rRNA from 1 species